UCCAUGGUAGCACUUCAGCAUUUUUUGUGGAGCUUUUGGCUACCUUCAUUGUGCUCUUCCUAACUGCAUCAUUGACAAAUGAUCCUCAAUCAGUAAGAUCUAAUAGCAAAAAUUCCCUCUAAUAUUAUUGGGUAUUGUUUGUAACUUAUCCCUAUUAAUCAAAUAUUGUAUUUUUUGUAGACAGGGCCAUUGUCCGGAUUUGUUGUUGGAGUGGCCAUUGGACUGGCUGUACUAAUUUCUGGGUAAUUUUCGUUGCAAUUUAAGCAUGAGUUGAUCUACAUAUCGUGCAACGGGGUGCAAUCGCAUUCACUGCUUUGAUUCAAACUUUAUAUACUAUAGAAAAUUUAUAAGAUAUAUAUUUUUGUAUAAGUACGUAAAAUGAAAUCAAAAUUGAAACUUCUGCACUAAAGUGAUGUAAAAUGAAAUUGUAACAUACACUAUACCUGAAACUUAUACAUAUAUGAUGAUUUUAAUUACUUAAUCGGAAAAAAUAUCUUAUCUUUUUUUCAUUUUUUGUGUGAUUGCAGGCCUAUUUCAGGAGGAUCAAUGAACCCAGCCAGAUCUUUAGGACCAGCAAUUGUAUCAUGGAAGUUUGGUGGAUUGUGGAUAUAUGUUGUAGCCCCAAUACUUGGAGCUGUUGCAGGAGUUGUCUUGUAUCGACUUUUACGCCUUCAAGGCUGGUCUUGCAAACCUAAUUCCACUCCGACAACAACUCAUCAACAUAAUCCCCUUUAACUAGUAAUUUUUAGCUUAGUAAUAUUGGUGGAAAUUUUAUACACAAAACAUAUAGGUUUGAUUCUCAGGGUUCUCUUCCUCUUUUAAGUCAAGUUAUUAAAAUUUUUGUAUACAUACCCUAAUCAAAACACUCAAAACAACGUGGUUUCUGACAAGCUGUGUUCUUGAAUAGUAACAUAAUUGUACGUUGGUGACCUCAAGAAAGUUGCCACUAAUGGAAAAGGAAGCACAGCUUGAAUGCCCUAUUGGAUAAUGUUUGUGUAAUUUUGUCGUUCUUUUUGCCAUUCUUCGUGACAACUCAAAGUAAAAUGUAUUGCCAACACGUCCCCGUACAUAACAAUGAAUGAAUGCAGAGGAGGUUAGGGAAGAUUGGUUCUUCCAUGUCCUCUGUACANNN
rnacentral:lncRNA from 1 species